CAGGCUGCAACUCGCCUGCAUGAAGUUGGAAUUGCUAAUAAUCGCGAAUCAGAAUGUCGCGGUGAAUACGUUCCCGGGCCUUGUACACACCGCCCGUCACACCAUGAGAGCCGAUAACACCCGAAGCCUGUGAGCUAACCGUAAGGGGGCAGCAGUCGAAGGUGGGGUUGGUGAUUGGGGUGAAGUCGUAACAAGGUACC
rnacentral:rRNA from 1 species